rnacentral:lncRNA from 1 species
GUUACCUUCUCAACAUGGCGAGCUUGCUGGACGUCACGUCGCCUUCGCCUUUUCCGCUGCGGACUCUGCUCACCGACCUCCUCAGUAGAGCCGGCCCUGCUCACUACCGCGCCCACGUGUCCUGUUGUGCUUCAUUCCCACAGGCCGCAUAAGAAGUGGGUGCCGAGGCUCCCUUCCCACUGCCAUUCCACUGGCCCAGAGGAAGCUUCUGUUGUGUUCAGAUGGGCAGGCACUCUUCCUCGAGAAGUUAAGUAGCCGGAAUAUCUAAAUGCCUCUCCUUGGCGAUUACUCGAUGAGCGCCUGUCCUUCCUCCACUCUUCCAGCAGACCUGCCUUUUGGGGCUGAUGGAAAUAUGCAUAUUAGAUUAUCUGCAGAAACUGGCUCAGCACUACAAGGAGGCUGCCAACAUGAAGACACUGGAUGCGGAAUCAGGAGGAGAUGUAUACAGCUCAGUCUCCAAAGCCAGGACAAGCCAGCUCCAACACACUACUGGCUGAAUCUCACCAAUCGUUAUAGUUUUGUUUUUUGUUUUUUUAAAUGUAUUUAAGCAUUUUUAGGUGUUUUAAAUUUUAUGUGUGUAUUCUAGGAAUAUGUACUCAGAUUCUUUCAUUAGGCAUGUGUUAUUAACAACAUUCAUCUUCUUAAAGGCUGAACCAACUUUGCGCGUUUUAUCAACAGAUAUUCACUGAGCACCUAAUAUUGCCAGGCUGUGCUCAAGGCAGUGGGAUUCAUCAGUGAACAAUACAGACAAAAAUCACUGACCUAAAUGGAGCUUGAAGUUUAUAUCUAAAUCAUUCAAAGAUUCUGUGGUGGAAAAGAAGUUAGAAAUCUUUCAGCUGCAAAACAUAAGCCAAAAUACAACUCACCUUUGGAAUCAGAGAACUUACAGGUUCAUAAAAUUGCGAAGCCCAGAUGUGCACCUGAGGUGAGACUUCGUCCAGCUUCUGUCUGUGUCACUAAUCUUUCCUGCUUUCAGCGGCAUCCCUCGCAGGCCCGUGUUGUUCCCAACUGGUGUUCCCACCUGGCGGCAAACUGGUGACUGUAGUUACAGAUCUUCAACAUCACACUCAGGAGAAGAAGGAGAUUGCUUUUCAGGAGCUCCUGCAAGCCGGAGAAUAAAAGCUCUUAUUUAUUCAGAAGCCCUAAAACAUACCACCUUGGCUAUAGACUAUUUGGACAUUUCUAAGCAAAUCUGUCUGCAAAGGUGCUGAGCUGUGUUGAUCAACUGAAGCCCGUGACGUCUCAUCCUUGCAGUUGGAGCAAAUCUCAAAGGCAAAGCCAGUGUUAAGGAGAGGGAAAUCAGACUUCAUCUUUCGAUGGGAGAAGAAAAGAGUUUGCAACUGUCUCUAUUCUGCCACUGGCAGAGAAUCCAUAGGUUUGCUAAGGAUACAGAGCCACAUUGAAAAGAUAAACCUUGCUAUGCUGGAGAUUACUUAGGUGGGCCAGGAUUUCUUGAAACCAAAACUUUACUGAAUCACCUCUUCACCAUCUGUAUGCCGUGCAUUUGCUGAG